CUCCAUCUCUAACCCCUCCCCCAUCUCUAACUCCACCCUCCAUCUCUAACCCCGCCCCCCAUCUCUAAACCCCGCCCUCCAUCUCUAACCCCUCCCCUGUACCAUGUCACCCUUAGUGGGCCACCAGCAGUUUGCAUGUAAAUGAUGAUCAGAAAAUAGAUCCGUAAAACAUGUUAUUUAUCAGUAGAGAGGAGCUUCCUGUUUCGAUCUCACUAUGGGAACAGAAGAGACUUUUUUGAUUGGAUGAUGAGACAACAUUUGUUUACUAGGGAAGUUAAACAGCCUGGCGUCCGUCUGACUGACCCCCCCCCCCCAGGUCAACUAGUUUGACCCCUGAACUUUAGGCGUCUCCAGCUAUAGAAUCUCCUGUCUUAUUUAUAAUUGAUUUAGAGACGGGUGCUUUUCUCUAUUACCACAGUAGUCAAUACGAUUUGGUAGAAAAUAUUUAUAAUAUUUGAAGAGUUUUGGACAGAUGAAUUUGGAUCCUCAGAUAUUUGUGUGUGUUUUUUUUUAAUGAGGAAUCGUUUUUUGGACUAUUUGCAUGUUGCUGAGAAAAAUAUAUAUAUUUAAAAAUAUAUUUAAAAAUAUAUUUAAAAAAUGUUUUUUUUUUUUUUUUACAUUCUUUUGAUAAAUUAAAAUUUCCAGAUGUUUCCGAUGUUUGUAGACUGUCUAACUAAAUGUACCGGGCUCAGUUUGGUUUGUACGAGGGCUGUAAUACCGAUUUAAACAUGAUUUAUUAUUGUCCGAUAUAAAAUGUGCUGGUUGGCUAGGUGUGUAUCUACUGAGACCGUUGGUCCGAUACUGUCCAAGCUGUCACAGAGAGGGGAACCAUGGAAACAGGUUCUGGGUGCUGUUUAUCUCAGAAUACCCAGGAGUCAGAUGUUGAGCGCUUGACUUUCCUCCCGUUGCUCCCCACCUGAUCAAUCCACUCGUUACCAAAGCCUACAAGUUAUUUCCAGAGAACCUGAUGUAUAUUAUAACUCAGUAUGAACCCUAAUAAAGCUUUAUACCUGAUGGAUGAUGAUGAUGAUGGAUCUCUGGCAUUGAGGUGAAUCUGUUGCUCCGAUCUGAUAAAAGACUCAUUAUAAAAGAGACUGAGUGUUUUUAAAAACCGCACCAGCAUGCUUCAGGACGUUCUAGAAUCAGGCUUCAGGAAGUUCUAGAACAAGGUUUGAGGAUGUUGUAGAACCAGGCUUCAGGACGUUCUAGAAUCAGGCUUCAGGAAGUUCUAGAACCAGGCUUCAGGAAGUUCUAGAACAAGGCUUCAGGAUGUUGUAGAACCAGGCUUCAGGACGUUGUAGAACCAGGCUUCAGGACGUUGUAGAACCGGGCUUCAGGACGUUGUAGAACCAGGCUUUAGGACGUUCUAGAACCAGGCUUCAGGAAGUUCUACAACCAGGCUUCAGGACGUUUAAGCUGUGAUGGAACCUGACCUUCAAUCUAUCAGAAACCUUGUCGUUUUAACUCUUGAGAGACUGGAGGAAGAGGAGGAGGAGGAGGAAGAGGAGGAAGAGAAGG
rnacentral:lncRNA from 1 species